UACGUAGGGGGCUAGCGUUGUCCGGAUUUAUUGGGCGUAAAGAGCGUGUAGGCGGCCAGGUAGGUCUGCUGUGAAAACUCGAGGCUCAACCUCGAGACGUCGGCGGAAACCAUCUGGCUAGAGUCCGGAAGAGGAGAGUGGAAUUCCUGGUGUAGCGGUGAAUGCGCAGAGUAUCAGGAAGAACACCCGUGGCGAAGGCGGCUCUCUGGGACGGUACUGACGCUGAGACGCGAAAGCGUGGGGAGCGAACAGG
rnacentral:rRNA from 1 species